GACCGGAGUGGACGCAUCACUGGUGUUCGGGUUGUCAUGCCAAUGGCACUGCCCGGUAGCUAAAUGCGGAAGAGAUAAGUGCUGAAAGCAUCUAAGCACGAAACUUGCCCCGAGAUGAGUUCUCCCUGACUCCUUGAGAGUCCUGAAGGAACGUUGAAGACGACGACGUUGAUAGGCCGGGUGUGUAAGCGCAGCGAUGCGUUGAGCUAACCGGUACUAAUGAACCGU
rnacentral:rRNA from 1 species